AGUGCAUGUGGUGGAUGCCUUGGCAGUCAGAGGCGAUGAAAGACGUGAUAGCCUGCGAAAAGCUCCGGGGAGGCGGCAAAUAUCCUUUGAUCCGGAGAUGUCUGAAUGGGGGAACCCACCUACUUUAAGGUAGGUAUUGCAACAUGAAUACAUAGUGUUGCAAGGCGAACGAGGGGAAGUGAAACAUCUCAGUACCCUUAGGAAAAGAAAUCAAUUGAGAUUCCCUCAGUAGCGGCGAGCGAACGGGGAUCAGCCCAUUAAGUUAUGUGUGUUUUAGUGGAACGCUCUGGGAAGUGCGAACGUAGAGGGUGAUAUUCCCGUACACGAAAGGGCACACAUAAUGAUGACGAGUAGGGCGAGGCACGUGAAACCUUGUCUGAAUAUGGGGGGACCAUCCUCCAAGGCUAAAUACUCCUGACUGACCGAUAGUGAACCAGUACCGUGAGGGAAAGGCGAAAAGAACCCCUGUGAGGGGAGUGAAAUAGAUCCUGAAACCGCAUGCAUACAAGCAGUGGGAGCACCUUCGUGGUGUGACUGCGUACCUUUUGUAUAAUGGGUCAGCGACUUAUAUUCAGUAGCGAGGUUAACCGUAUAGGGGAGCCGUAGAGAAAUCGAGUCUUAAUAGGGCGUUUAGUUGCUGGGUAUAGACCCGAAACCAGGCGAUCUAUCCAUGAGCAGGUUGAAGGUUGGGUAACACUAACUGGAGGACCGAACCCACUGUCGUUGAAAAGCCAGGGGAUGACUUGUGGAUAGGGGUGAAAGGCUAAUCAAGCCUGGUGAUAGCUGGUUCUCCCCGAAAGCUAUUUAGGUAGCGCCUCGGACGAAUACCAUAGGGGGUAGAGCACUGUUUCGGCUAGGGGGUCAUCCCGACUUACCAAACCGAUGCAAACUCCGAAUACCUAUGAGUACUAUCCGGGAGACAGACUGCGGGUGCUAACGUCCGUAGUCAAGAGGAAAACAAUCCAGACCGCCAGCUAAGGCCCCAAAAUCAUAGUUAAGUGGGAAACGAUGUGGGAAGGCAUAGACAGCUAGGAGGUUGGCUUAGAAGCAGCCACCCUUUAAAGAAAGCGUAAUAGCUCACUAGUCGAGUCGGCCUGCGCGGAAGAUGUAACGGGGCUAAAACUAUGUGCCGAAGCUGCGGAUGUAUACUUUGUAUACGUGGUAGGGGAGCGUUCUGUAAGCCGAUGAAGGUGUGUUGAGAAGCAUGCUGGAGGUAUCAGAAGUGCGAAUGCUGACGUGAGUAACGACAAAACGGGUGAAAAACCCGUUCGCCGAAAGACCAAGGGUUCCAGUCCAACGUUAAUCGGGGCUGGGUGAGUCGACCCCUAAGGCGAGGCCGAAAGGCGUAGUCGAUGGGAAAAUGGUUAAUAUUCCAUUACUUCUGUGUAAUGCGAUGAGAGGACGGAGAAGGCUAAAUCAGCCUGGCGUUGGUUGUCCAGGUGAAAGGAUGUAGGCAUGUAUCUUAGGCAAAUCCGGGGUACUCUAUGCUGAGAUCUGAUAGCAAGCUGUACUUGUACAGCGAAGUGGUUGAUGCCAUGCUUCCAGGAAAAGUCUCUAAGCUUCAGUUACACAGGAAUCGUACCCGAAACCGACACAGGUGGUCAGGUCGAGUAGACCAAGGCGCUUGAGAGAACUCUGCUGAAGGAACUAGGCAAAAUGGUACCGUAACUUCGGGAGAAGGUACGCUGUUGUUGGUGAUGGAACUCGCUUCCUGAGCUGACGACAGCCGCAGAAACCAGGCCGCUGCAACUGUUUAUUAAAAACAUAGCACUCUGCAAACACGAAAGUGGACGUAUAGGGUGUGAUGCCUGCCCGGUGCUGGAAGGUUAAUUGAUGGGGUUAGCGUAAGCGAAGCUCUUGAUCGAAGCCCCAGUAAACGGCGGCCGUAACUAUAACGGUCCUAAGGUAGCGAAAUUCCUUGUCGGGUAAGUUCCGACCUGCACGAAUGGCAUAAUGAUGGCGGCGCUGUCUCCAGCAGAGGCUCAGUGAAAUCGAAAUCGCUGUGAAGAUGCAGUGUACCCGCGGCUAGACGGAAAGACCCCGUGAACCUUUACUGCAGCUUGACACUGAACUUUGACCUUACUUGUGUAGGAUAGGUGGGAGGCUUUGAAGCUGGAACGCUAGUUCCAGUGGAGCCGUCCUUGAAAUACCACCCUGGUAAUGUUGAGGUUCUAACUCUGUCCCGUGAUCCGGGACGAGGACCGUGUCUGGUGGGUAGUUUGACUGGGGCGGUCUCCUCCUAAAGAGUAACGGAGGAGUACGAAGGUGCGCUCAGCGUGGUCGGAAAUCACGCGUAGAGUAUAAAGGCAAAAGCGCGCUUAACUGCGAGACCCACAAGUCGAGCAGGUACGAAAGUAGGUCUUAGUGAUCCGGUGGUUCUGUAUGGAAGGGCCAUCGCUCAACGGAUAAAAGGUACUCUGGGGAUAACAGGCUGAUACCGCCCAAGAGUUCAUAUCGACGGCGGUGUUUGGCACCUCGAUGUCGGCUCAUCUCAUCCUGGGGCUGAAGCAGGUCCCAAGGGUAUGGCUGUUCGCCAUUUAAAGAGGUACGCGAGCUGGGUUUAGAACGUCGUGAGACAGUUCGGUCCCUAUCUACCGUGGGCGCUGGAAAUUUGAGAGGAUCUGCUCCUAGUACGAGAGGACCAGAGUGGACGAACCUCUGGUGUACCGGUUGUGACGCCAGUCGCAUCGCCGGGUAGCUAUGUUCGGAAGGGAUAACCGCUGAAAGCAU
rnacentral:rRNA from 1 species